AUUGAACGCUGGCGGCAUGCUUUACACAUGCAAGUCGAACGGUAACAGGUUAAGCUGACGAGUGGCGAACGGGUGAGUAAUGCAUCGGAACGUGCCCGGUCGUGGGGGAUAACGCAGCGAAAGCUGCGCUAAUACCGCAUACGAUCUGAGGAUGAAAGCGGGGGACCGUAAGGCCUCGCGCGAUCGGAGCGGCCGAUGUCCGAUUAGGUAGUUGGUGGGGUAAAGGCUCACCAAGCCAACGAUCUGUAGCUGGUCUGAGAGGACGACCAGCCACACUGGGACUGAGACACGGCCCAGACUCCUACGGGAGGCAGCAGUGGGGAAUUUUGGACAAUGGGCGAAAGCCUGAUCCAGCAAUGCCGCGUGCAGGAAGAAGGCCUUCGGGUUGUAAACUGCUUUUGUACGGAGCGAAAAGGUCUCCUCUAAUACAGGGGGCUCAUGACGGUACCGUAAGAAUAAGCACCGGCUAACUACGUGCCAGCCGCCGUAACAC
rnacentral:rRNA from 1 species